UACGGAGGAGGCAAGCGUUAUCCGGAAUUAUUGGGCGUAAAGCGUCCGCAGGUGGCACCGCAAGUCUGCUGUCAAAGACCGGGGCUUAACCCCAGAAAGGCAGUGGAAACUGAAGUGCUAGAGUGCAGUAGGGGUAGAGGGAAUUCCCGGUGUAGCGGUGAAAUGCGUAGAGAUCGGGAAGAACAUCGGUGGCGAAAGCGCUCUGCUGGACUGCAACUGACACUCAGGGACGAAAGCUAGGGGAGCGAAUGGG
rnacentral:rRNA from 1 species